AGGAACAAGCCAAUCUACUAAGAGAGGGAUUCCAAAAUGAGAGCCGACAACUUCAGAAUGAAAUAAAUCUUCUCAACGAAAAGUUAGAAAACACAGGUGGUGGAUGUGUCAUACUCUAAAGAUCUAACAAAGCAAACUUUCCUAUCACCCUUACUCUUUUCUGGGUUUUUUUUUGGUACCGGGGAUCGAACUCGGGACCUUGCUCUUGCGAGGCAGACGCCGGAACCACUGAGCUAAAUCCCUGGCCCCAUACCCUUACUCUUUGAGGCAUAGAUAAAGCAAUUUUAGAUUUUAGAAUAAGUGGUCCUUCAGUUAAUGUUACUUAAGUCUUAUAACCACAAAACCCUGCAAAGACAUGAAGUACAAUACUUGGAGUCAUGUUCAUCUUCCUUAAAAGAUUGUAAAUUUUUUGUACCAAGAAUAGAUUUUACCUCUGUACAAUUUUACAAAAUAUUGAGUUUCAGUGUGAUAUUUGUAUACAUGCAUAUAAUUUAGCCUGAUCAUACCUGUAUCUCCAUUAGUCUCCCUUAUACUUCCCUCUUCUUCCCUUUUUCUUAAGGGAGUGACUAUAAAUGCCACAUUGUUUUGCACUAUCAUGUGUAGCUCCUUCCUUCUGGACAGAUGCUUGUCCCUGUCCUAUGGCUUUAGCCUUUUUUUUUUUUUACCGGAUAUCCUUUUAUUGGUGGCUUAACCUUGAAAUCAUUUUGGCCCACCAAAAUAUGAAUAGAGCAGAUGUACGUAUAUCCAAGCAGAAGAUUUUAAGAGCUUUUUGUCUUAAAAUGGACAGGAUUUUUUUUUUUGUACCAGGGAUCGAACUCAGGACCUUGCACUUGUGAGGCAGGCGGUGGAACCACUGAGCUAAAUCCCCAGCCCAAAACAGACAAGAUUUAAAGUAGAAACUGUUGCAGAUAGUUCUUCAAAAUCCUGAUUUUUAAUUGUUUUAGGUAAAUAUAAAUAAGUGCAGUAGGUAAUUCAUAUGGUACUUCUCUGCAAAACUUUUAUAAGAACCUUCAUACAUUUUACCAGAGAAGCUACACAAUUUUACAUUUUGAACAACAGUACACAAAAGUUCCAGUUUCUCCACAUCCUCACGAAUACUUGCAUUUUAAUUUUUUUAGUAAUCCUUAUCCAAAUGAGAAUACUUUGAUAUAUCAUUGUGUUAUAAUUUGCAUUUUCUCGAUGAUGAUUAAUAAAGUUAAGCAUCUUUUGAUAUA
rnacentral:lncRNA from 1 species